rfam:Picea glauca, whole genome shotgun sequence.
GUAACGGUGUCUCUAGACACCACCUCUUAUCUUCAAUUUUUUUAUC